GAUGAACGCUGGCGGCGUGCUUAACACAUGCAAGUCGAACGGAAAGGCCAGUGCUUGCACUGGUGCUCGAGUGGCGAACGGGUGAGUAACACGUGGGUGAUCUGCCCUGCACUUUGGGAUAAGCCUGGGAAACUGGGUCUAAUACCAGAUAGGACCAUGCUUUGGAUGGUGUGAUGGAAAGUUUUUUCGGUGUGGGAUGAGCUUGCGGCCUAUCAGCUUGUUGGUGGGGUAAUGGCCUACCAAGGCGUCGACGGGUAGCCGGCCUGAGAGGGUGUACGGCCACAUUGGGACUGAGAUACGGCCCAGACUCCUACGGGAGGCAGCAGUGGGGAAUAUUGCACAAUGGGCGCAAGCCUGAUGCAGCGACGCCGCGUGGGGGAUGACGGCCUUCGGGUUGUAAACUCCUUUCGCAACUGACGAAGCUUUUUGUGACGGUAGGUUGAGAAGAAGCACCGGCUAACUACGUG
rnacentral:rRNA from 1 species